UCUGCUCAGCAGAGAGAGAUUCCCAAAAUUUCUCUUCCUCAAUAAACUGAAACAUAAAUUAUAAACUGAAUUUCCCCUCAAACGGCCCUGGAGGCUUGAGCUGAGAUUCCUGGGUUGGGGGGGGGGGAAUGGUGAGUUGGGGGUUGGACUAGAUGACCCUCAGGGGUCCCACCCAGCUCUGUGAUUCUACUAUUCUGUCUUGAAGGGAGGCAGAAGAGGGAGAAGGCGGUGCUCAAGAGCCAAGGCAGCAACCCGAUGAUGCAGCCUUCUAAUGCAGCGACCUUACAAAUUAAAUUAAAUUAAAAGGUGAAUUUGCAAAACUGACGGAUUUAAUAAGGCAUAAAUCAAAAAUUAUAAUUCAGAAGCAAUGGGAAUGCUUAAACGAAUAUUUAUACAAGCAGGGCUCAAAUACGAAAGUUUGGUUGUUCCUAGACUAACCUUGUGAAGAAUAUAGAGAACAUAAAGAUUUGACGGAUUAUGAAAGAAUCUUAAGGAAGGGAAAUGAUUGAAGAUCAGAUGUAAAGGCGAGCAAGAUAACUAAGAGGAUUUUGGAAUCAACAGAACAGCUGUAGGGAGAUUGCAAAUGCAUCUUUCGGAAGUCCUGAAGCAUCGUUUAUUUACAAUAUGUACAAAGAGAAUUUUAUGCCAUCCAGGAUAUGACAUUUGGUGGGAGAGCAUGAGGACUUAUUUUUUAAUUUGAUGCACUAUAUGUGAUGAAAAGGACCCAGCUACAAAGCCUGAAAUCAUUCAGAGGUUGGAGGAGAGACUCUCUGGCAUUAGAAUCGCCCAACUUGAGAUCUUUCUCUCUGCUUUAAAGUGUGUUGUGGCAUCAUUGUGAGAGGCCCAAGGUUGGCUUGGUUUAUGCCUCCUCCUUCACACCCCAAAGGCAGCGCAAUGGCCUCAGAGGCAUCUUGGUUGUCUCUUCUUUGGGCCGGAAUGGAAAGGGCUGCUGGGCAGCCACCUCAGGCAUUCUUGGCAUUUGAGGAGGUGGCUGUGUUUUUCACGGAGGAGGAGUGGGCCCUCCUGAAUCCCAGCCAAAGAGCUCUGCACAGGGAUGUCAUGGUGGAGAAUUAUGAGAUGGUGGCCUCUCUAGGUAAGGGCACUUCCUUCAUGGAUAGAUGUUGAAUAAUCAGACCUCCGUUCCUGCUGGGGAGAAUAUCCAUUUAUCCAGGAUCUCAAAGAAGGAGAGACAUCAACAGGUAGCUCUGCCUAGAUGUGUUGUGGGGCCAAAUUUUUGCUUUUCUGGGAGGUCAGCGAACCUCACCAGCAGGGGAUCAAUGGUCUCACUACGUGCCUCUUCAUAAAAGGGACACCUAAAGAACAAGUGCUCUGGGCUUCCUAUAUCCCCCAAUGAACAGGCACAAAAUCUCUGAGCAUAUGGGACUUUUUUUAAAGGAUUCUUCCAGGACCGGCGAGGGUAGAGCCGAGCUUCUGGCAAGUGUAAAAGCCCUUCUUGUAUUUUUGGAUACGAGAAAGAAGAGAUAUGCUGCCGGUGAGGCUAUCACUCUCCCGAUUUUUCCAAUUUUAUAGUCGGGGCAUCUUGAGCAGUCCUGUUGUCUCUUGGUGUCUAUGAUUCUUUACUCAUAGAAUAAAAAACUGGCAGUGAUCUACCUUUUUUGGGGGGGGGGGUUCAGGUCU
rnacentral:lncRNA from 1 species